CUUUGUUAGGUCAAACCGGAUUCAGAUCAAGGAAACGAAUAUAAAUGGCUAAUUUACGUUGAAAAAAAUAGCGUAACUGGUAGACAGAAGAGAAACAGCGUCUUUAUUACGUAUUACGAAAUUACGAUUGAUGCACGAGCAGGGACAUCGGUUCUCAGGUGAAAGAGCACGAGAACGAGCAACUGGUCGAUUCGCUCGACGCAAGAAAACGGUCGCAUAACAAUAACUUGCUGAUGUUACACACAUUGUGUACCGCUAGGAGCGGCACCGUGACACACAAACGGAUGGGAACCACGUCUCUUCCUGGUCGACCGAUCGCAACCCGCAUUCCCGACGCCGGAAACGCGUCGUCGAAACGACGCCGGAAUAAAAAAAAAGAAGAAACGGAAACGAGCACAAACGCAACCCCAUUAACUUAAAACUUAAACGAUGUGCAUAACGAUAUGUUAUGUACACAUGUAAAGCCGCCACCAGUUUUAAUCGUCGAAAAACAACAAAAUUGAGAGAGUGCGUGAUUGAUGGACCUGGCAUCGUGGUCGAUGUGAGCAACAAGUCGUAUACGGGGUGUCCCGCCAUUCUCGUCGUUUCUUUCACCAAUGGAUUCUUCGACUGAUUUGGAAUUGUGUUUUUUUCCUCAGCGAAUAGCCACUGGAGAAUUGCUUCAGAGUUUUUUUUUAUAUCCGAAUGUUAGACACUUUAAUAACUGUUGAAAAUAAAAAUUGAAGCACUACUAAGGUU